rnacentral:rRNA from 1 species
GAUGAACGCUGGCGGCGUGCUUAACACAUGCAAGUCGAGCGAUGAAGCCCAGCUUGCUGGGUGGAUUAGUGGCGAACGGGUGAGUAACACGUGAGUAACCUGCCCUUAACUCUGGGAUAAGCCUUGGAAACUGGGUCUAAUACCGGAUAGGAGCGUCCACCGCAUGGUGGGUGUUGGAAAGAUUUAUCGGUUUUGGAUGGACUCGCGGCCUAUCAGCUUGUUGUUGAGGUAAUGGCUCACCAAGGCGACGACGGGUAGCCGGCCUGAGAGGGUGACCGGCCACACUGGGACUGAGACACGGCCCAGACUCCUACGGGAGGCAGCAGUGGGGAAUAUUGCACAAUGGGCGCAAGCCUGAUGCAGCGACGCCGCGUGAGGGAUGACGGCCUUCGGGUUGUAAACCUCUUUCAGUAGGGAAGAAGCGAAAGUGACGGUACCUGCAGAAGAAGCACCGGCUAACUACGUG